UUCCAAGCUCAGUUUGUAGAUCAUGACACUCUUAAUCUCAUGGUUGUGGGUUCGAGUCCCGCACUGGGCAAAA